rnacentral:rRNA from 1 species
GGUUCCAGAUCAUGCCCGAUCUGUUGCUCCGCUGGCGGGAUGCUUUACACAUGCAAGUCGAACGGCAGCACGAUCCGUCUGGUGGCGAUUGUUAACGGGGUGAGUAAUGUCAUCUGGAACGUGCCUAGUAGCGGGGGAUAACUACGCGAAAGCGUAGCUAAUACCGCAUACGCCCUUCGGGGAAAGCGGGGACCUUUCGGCGUCCUCGCACUAUUAGAGCGGCCGAUAUCGGAUUAGCUAGUUGGUGGGGUAACGGCUCACCAAGGCGACGAGUCCAGUUCAUCGAGAGAUAACGACUACUGAUCCGGGACUGGAGAUAUUUGGCCUAGAUUUCAUGGAGGCAGCAGUGGGGAAUUUUGGACAAUGGGGAACCUGAUCCAGCCAUCCCGCGUGUGCGAUGAAGUCUUUAUUCGUGCUACACUUUUGGCAGGAAAGAAGCGGUACGGGAUAAUACCCCGUGCAACUGACGGUACUCUGCAGAAUAAGCACCGGCUAACGGCGCCCGCCGCGGCCGCGGUAAUACGUAGGGUGCAAGCGUUAAUCGGAAUUACUGGGCGACACGCAACGGCAGGCGGUUCGGAAAGAAAGAUGUGAAAUCCCAGAGCUUAACUUUGUCCGUACUUUUAACUACUGAGCUAGAGUGUGUCAGAGGGAGGUGGAAUUCCGCGCCUGAUAACAUAUUACCUUCACGGUAGAUAUGCGGAGAACACCGAUGGCGAAGGCGUCCGAUACCACGAUUGACGUUCUGCCGCAGAGCGUGGGGAGCAAACAGGAUUAGAUACCCUGGUAGUCCACGCCCAAAACGAUGUCAACUAGCUGUUGGGGCCUUCGGGCCUUGGUAGCGCAAUUACAUCGUCACACUGGCUGACCGCCCGGGGAGUACGGUCGCAAGAUUAAAACUCAAAGGAAUUGACGGGGACCCGCACAAGUGGUGGAGAGGACGAUGCCUGCCAAGAUUAAUUCGAUGCAACGCGAAAACCUUACCACUCCUUGACAUGUCUGGAAUCCCGAAGAGAUCAGAGAGUGUCCGCACGAGGAACUGAACACAGGUGCUGCAUGGCUGCUUCCACUGGUCGUGUCGUGAGAUGUUGGGUUAAGUCCCCGCAACGAGCGCGUCCUGUCAUUGCUGACGUCGAUGCCUCAUCCCAUCGAACACUGCCGGUGACAAACCAGUCGAAUGCUGAUGACGUCAAGUCCGCCGGUCCUUCGAUGGAAUAUUAGCGCCCACGUCAUACAUCGCCUGGCGGUCGGCUCAACUCAUGAGGCUGGAGUUCAAUCCCAGAACCCGAUCGUAGUCCGGAUCGCAGUCUGCAACUCGACUGCGUGAAGUCGGAAUCGCUAUAACGCGGAUCAGCAUGUCGCGGUGAAUACGUUCCCGGGUCUUGUACACACCGCCCGUCACACCAUGGGAGUGGUUUACCAGGCGAAGUAGUUAGCCUAACCGUAAGGAGGGCGAUUACCACGGUAGAUCCAUGACGCGGGGUCCGGGCCGGGGCGGGGGCAAAAGGGGUAAAAAGGGGGGCGGGGCGGGUGGGGCGGGGGGGGGCGGGGUGGGGGCGCGGGGGGCCGGGGGGUGGGAUACCUGAUGCCCCAGGAGCACACG